AGAGCGAACGCUGGCGGCAGGCUUAACACAUGCAAGUCGAACGGGCGUAGCAAUACGUCAGUGGCAGACGGGUGAGUAACGCGUGGGAACGUACCUUUUGGUUCGGAACAACACAGGGAAACUUGUGCUAAAUACCGGAUAAGCCCUUACGGGGAAAGAUUUAUCGCCGAAAGAUCGGCCCGCGUCUGAUUAGCUAGUUGGUAGGGUAACGGCCUACCAAGGCGACGAUCAGUAGCUGGUCUGAGAGGAUGAUCAGCCACAUUGGGACUGAGACACGGCCCAAACUCCUACGGGAGGCAGCAGUGGGGAAUAUUGGACAAUGGGCGAAAGCCUGAUCCAGCCAUGCCGCGUGAGUGAUGAAGGCCUUAGGGUUGUAAAGCUCUUUUGUGCGGGAAGAUAAUGACGGUACCGCAAGAAUAAGCCCGGCUAACUUCGCGCCAGCAGCCGC
rnacentral:rRNA from 1 species